rnacentral:rRNA from 1 species
GCCAUCCUUGGGAUACCACCCUUGUAGUACUGGGACUCUAACCAUAGGCCAUGAAUCUGGUCUUGGGACACUGUCAGGUGGGCAGUUUGACUGGGGCGGUCGCCUCCCAAAAGGUAACGGAGGCGCUCAAAGGUUCUCUCAGUACGGUCGGAAAUCGUACGUAGAGUGUAAAGGCAAAAGAGAGCUUGAUUGCAAGACAUACAGGUCGAGCAAGGAUGAAAAUCGGACUUAGUGAUCCGGUGGUUCUGCGUGGAAGGGCCAUCGCUCAACGGAUAAAAGCUACCCUGGGGAUAACAGGCUUAUCUCCCCCAAGAGUCCACAUCGACGGGGAGGUUUGGCCCCUCGAUGUCGGCUCAUCACAUCCUGGGGC